rnacentral:lncRNA from 1 species
CAUUUCGGGCUGGAUACCUCGGUCUAUAUCCGGUUUAACAGCUCUAAUGCAUUUAGAUCUCCGUAACAACCAAAUCUCGGGGCCACUUCCCCGAGACAUUGGAAAGCUCCGCAUGAUGAGCCGAGCUUUAUUGAGUCGGAAUCGGAUCACUGGUCCGAUUCCGAACUCAAUAUCAUACAUAUACCGACUUUCUGAUUUAGACCUCUCGUUAAAUCAGAUUUCGGGUGCAAUUCCAGCAUCCCUGGGCAAAAUGGGAGUCCUCGCAACACUAAAUCUCGACGG